UAAAAGGGUCUCUGGUAGUUCGA
rnacentral:siRNA from 1 species